GACGAACGCUGGCGGCGUGCUUAACACAUGCAAGUCGAACGAUGAAGCGGGUGCUUGCACUCGUGGAUUAGUGGCGAACGGGCGAGUAACACGUGAGUAACCUGUCCUUUUCUUUGGGAUAACGGCUGGAAACGGCUGCUAAUACUGGAUAUUCAGGCUGCAUCGCAUGGUGUGGUUUGGAAAGGUUUUUUCUGGGAUUGGGUGGGCUCGCGGCCUAUCAGCUUGUUGGUGGGGUGAUGGCUUACCAAGGCUUUGACGGGUAGCCGGCCUGGGAGGGUGGUCGGUCGCACUGGGACUGAGAUACGGCCCAGACUCCGACGGGAGGCAGCAGUGGGGAAUAUUGCACAAUGGACGAAAGUGUGAUGCAGCGACGCCGCGUGGAGGGUGUAGGCCUUCGGGUUGUGAACUCCUUUGUCUCGCGAAAAAGGCACAGUUUUGGCUGUGUUGAUGGUAGUGGGGGAAGAAGCGCCGGCUAACUACGUG
rnacentral:rRNA from 1 species